rnacentral:lncRNA from 1 species
AUGGAACGGCGGUUCAAUUACCAGAGACCUGCGUUAACUGCGACCACGACAGCGGAGCUGCGUCCUUUAUACGUCAACACAUGGAGGAGCCGCUGGAGGAGGACGCGAGGCGACAGCUCUCAGAAGAUGCUGCGUGUGUGGAGUAUAAUAGAGGGAUGCUGCUCCUGUGGCCGCUGAGUGACUAAGCAACCGCCACCGCUGAUGGAUUGUGGGUCUCGUCUCAGUCCGCUCCAGCCGUAUACUUAUAUACACGUACAGUGCUGUAUAUAACUUUUUAUAGCAGCACUAUAUCUAAUAAUAGUAAAUGGUAAAGUCUACUGUAUAUACAGGCUGCAGACACUUAUUGAUUCCAGGCAUCCGCAUCCGUCGUUGGCAUUCAUGCCUGAGGUAUUGAUGAAGUUUUCCGUGCACUGUGGUGAUUUGCAUUUAAAAUCUCAUUUUUAUGAAGGUCAGGAUCAUUUAUUUUUAGCGCGACAGACACUCUUUACGUAUUUGUUUAAUGGAAUAUGAAUCACUUCACACCUGAGAAAUGAAUAGAUUCAGUGGUGACAUUUCCAAGAUCUGUUCUGGUGGUAAUAGCACAAUUUAGAGCUGAUAAAUGACCUGGACUGUUAAUGGAUUCAAAAUAAGGUCAAAAACAACUUGAGCAUCAUUAACCAUUUUCACUGUUUAAUUGUUACAUAUGGUUUCCUAAAUGAUUGAUAAUUAAGCGCCGCUCACUUACUUGCUUGGGCAAUUACCACAUGGGAAAAACACAGGCUUGCAAAAUAAUAACUCAUUAACUUCCUGUCAAUAGCGCGUUGUUUAACUGUGAAUUGAGCCUUGUUAAUGUACUGUAAUUCCAGACUUAAACUGUCUAAAAACACUACCCCUGAUUAUUUAGACAAAUAAUUUUUCUAUUACUCCAAUUAUUAACUCAGUUUGAGGAUGAAAUCCUUACUUUACUGUUUCUCCAGAGGACGAUUCAGGGGAACGCAUCCAGACGUACUGCAUGGUGAGGGGGAGAUAAAACAAUAGCGCUGUCACUUUCACGGGGGGGGGGGCUGGAUUUCGUCACGAGAAGAUGAGAGAUGAAGCUAACAAGGCUUCACUCUGUGGCGCCGAGGCCUCAAUCAGGGAUCGGCGGCGGUUAAUGAGGUCGCCCGUCUGAGCCCCUCUCCUCCGCCCGAGUUCAGAUUGAACAGAUUCGGGUUCUGCACAGAGCCGCCAGCGGGUAAUUGUGAACUUCACAAUGUUUUUUCGCGUCACCUGCAAACUCACCAGGCUGAUGCACGGCGGAUGCUUUGUUUCUCCUUAACGCAUGCGGUGUCAGAAAAUUACACUCGUAGAGACACAAUAAUCUGCAGGCCAAUGAAAUGAAAUGGGAUUGUAGCGGAUUAUGUGGGAAAUAAAGGAGGGAGUAAAAUGCA